UGGCGGCGUGGUUAAGACAUGCAAGUCGAACGGAGUUAUAAGUGUAGUAAUACAUUUAUAAUUUAGUGGCGAACGGGUGCGUAACACGUGAGCAAUCUGCCGGGAAGUGUGGGAUAGCUCGCCGAAAGGCGAAUUAAUACCGCAUGUGGCUAGGGGUGACAUCACUCCAAAGCCAAAGUCGCAAGACGCUUCCUGAUGAGCUCGCGGCCUAUCAGCUAGUUGGUGAGGUAACGGCUCACCAAGGCAAUGACGGGUAGCUGGUCUGAGAGGACGACCAGCCACACUGGAACUGAGACACGGUCCAGACACCUACGGGUGGCAGCAGUCGAGAAUUUUUCACAAUGGGGGAAACCCUGAUGGAGCGACGCCGCGUGGAGGACGAAGGUCUUCGGAUUGUAAACUCCUGUCAUGCGGGAACAAGAAAGUGAUAGUACUGCAAGAGGAAGAGACGGCUAACUCUGUGCCAGCAGCCGCGGUAAUACAGAGGUCUCAAGCGUUGUUCGGAUUCAUUGGGCGUAAAGGGUGCGUAGGUGGCGUGGAAAGUUGAGUGUGAAAUCCUAGGGCUUAACCUUAGAACUGCACUCAAUACUCCCAUGCUAGAGGAAUGUAGAGGAGAGUGGAAUUCACGGUGUAGCAGUGAAAUGCGUAGAUAUCGUGAGGAAGACCAGUUGCGAAGGCGACUCUCUGGGCAUCUCCUGACACUGAGGCACGAAGGCUAGGGGAGCAAACGGGAUUAGAUACCCCGGUAGUCCUAGCAGUAAACGGUGCACGUUUGGUGUGGGCAGGCUCAGANCCUGUCCGUGCCGGAGCUAACGCGUUAAACGUGCCGCCUGGGAAGUACGGUCGCAAGAUUAAAACUCAAGAAAUUGACGGGGGCCCGCACAAGCGGUGGAGUAUGUGGCUUAAUUCGAUGCAACGCGAAGAACCUUUACCUGGNCUUGACAUGCAUCU
rnacentral:rRNA from 1 species